UUCUUAUCAAGAGAAGCCGAGGGACUGGCCCGAUGAAGCUUCAGCAACCGUCGCCGCAAUAUGCGCGACAAGGUGCUAAUUCCAGCAGACGCCGACGCAGUCUGAGGGAUAAGAA
rnacentral:ncRNA from 2 species